AAUUACUGGUAAUCGCGCGUAACCUUGAGUUACGUGAGGAAAGUCCUUGCUCGCACAGGCUGCGAUGCCUGUAGUGUUUGUGCUCGGCGAAAAAAUAAACCGGGGCAUCGAUUUAUCGGUGACGGCGGAAGAACCGGCUAAGGUUUCGGCUAUGCUCUAGUAUUUCUGAAAGUGCCACAGUGACGAGCUGACUCGGAAACGGGUCAGAUGGAACGCGGUAAACCCCUCAAGCGGGAAACCCAAACUUAUGGUAGGGGAGCUCGGCCUAGUGAAUUGAAACGAUGGUCGUGGUCACGAUGCACAGGAUGUAUCGUGUGAAGAUAGAUGAUUACUGCUCUGAUAACUUGCAUGACGUUACCAGAGAACAUAACGAGGCUUAUAGGG
rnacentral:RNase_P_RNA from 1 species